GGGUCAGUAGGUUGGUCGUGCCACCGGUACGUACUGGUCUCACCGAUUCCUCCUUCCUGAAGAACCGUAAUGCCAUUAAUUUGGUGUUGCGGGGAAACAGGACUGUUACUUUGGAAAAAUUAGAGUGUUUAAAGCAAGCUAACGCUUGAAUACAUUAGCAUGGAAUAAUGAAAUAGGACGAUCGAUCCUAUUUUGUUGGUUUCUAGGAUUGACGUA
rnacentral:rRNA from 1 species